rnacentral:rRNA from 1 species
UGGGGAAUAUUGGACAAUGGGGGGAACCCUGAUCCAGCCAUGCCGCGGUGGUGAAGAAGGCCUUAUGGUUGUAAAGCACUUUAAGCGAGGAGGAGGGUACUGGUAUUAAUACUACCAGCUACGGGACGUUACCCGCAGAAUAAGCACCGGCUAACCCGGGGCCAGCAGCCGCGGUAAUACAGAGGGUGCGAGCGUUAAUCGGAUUUACUGGGCGUAAAGCGUGCGUAGGCGGCUAAUUGAGUCGGAUGUGAAAUCCCCGAGCUUAACUUGGGAAUUGCAUUCGAUACUGGUUAGCUAGAGUGUGGGAGAGGAUGGUAGAAUUCCAGGUGUAGCGGUGAAAUGCGUAGAGAUCUGGAGGAAUACCGAUGGCGAAGGCAGCCAUCUGGCCUAACACUGACGCUGAGGUACGAAAGCAUGGGGAGCAAACAGG